UGGAUGAUGGAUGCCCAAAUAAAAAGAUUCACAGACGGCUAUCUGAGCAAUUCUUAACGACGCAGAAUCUACAGCUAAAACUGCAAAUGUUAUUCCAUCCUCCUCAAGGUCUCAUGAGGAUGAUCAAAAUCGUAAAUUGAAAAUACGAAACCUCACGCUAAACUUCUUUAGGAAAUCAGCCCUUUUUAAAUGAUUAUAAAAAUGAAUUUCUAACCCAUCAUAAUUAACAGAAACGAUAACAACUUCUAUUCUCCUCGUCUACCCCCUCCCGACAUGGCAAUGCCACACGGCACCUCAAACUCGUCAAUAAAAAACUCAACAUCAUCAACCGCACUUCUCGGAUGAACAAUUCAUCCAGACAUUCUACAUGAAGGCAACUAACCACCAUCACUACAGCCACAGCUAUCUGUUUCCUAGGAAACCGGAAAACCAUGCACUUAAUAACAAAUCGUGUCUUCCCGCUCCCACUUCCCUAAAAGAAUGAUUACAACAUUAGUAUUACA